AUGCCUCCGCUUAGAGAGGAGGAAAUAAAACGGAAAUAUGUCCGGGGCCAACCUUUGGUCGAGCCAGACAAGGUCAAGAAGCUCCCAACGAGAAUGUAUGAAUUGCAUCAAUGGUACAUGGAUAUUACCAAGAUUUUCAAUCGAGAGUCCCUGAUGGUGAAUGUCAAGAAGGAUCAUUACUACCAUGGGAAAGCUAUGUCCGUUGAGUAUUCAGAACUAUUUCAGUUAUACAAUCAAGACGCACUCGACAAAUCUAUUGUCAGUUGCUAUUGUUUGAUGAAGAUUUAUGAAAUGAAAAAGGUGGACGCUAUGGCAUUGGGGCUUGGGCAAAGUUCAUCAGCGUCACUCCAGGCCAAUGGAAAAAAAUAUCUGAAAUGGUAUCGACCCAAGGCCCUGAAGUAG
rnacentral:rRNA from 1 species